GUCUCUGGUCCUUCAAUUAGAUGCCUCUACUGCUGCUCACUUAGGCCCUGUCAACGGAGUGUACUCUGGCUCCACGUGCAAUGUAAUCAAGGCUGUGUGCAGAAGUUCUUUGGCAUAUCAGCACAUCUUGUUGAUUCAACAGACCAACUAACCAAGUUGGUGGUUUUCUGAUGGCAAGCUUGCUGAGAUUAGAUGUGCUCCUGCACCAUUGAAAAUUGACAAGAGGGAAUCAUCAACGCCUAUGGCUUACCUAUAUGGAGCCAUCAGAGCUGCUGGUACUCUUUGUCUCCUAUAUUUACUGCAUUUGGUGGCAUACAGUACAAAUUGCUUACAUAGUUCUAUUAUCCUCACAACUGACAUCCUCAGAUGCUACAUUGUUGUUAUAAAAGGGUCAAUAAAAACCAAAGUUUAUAUAUCUGAUGUAUUCAUCCUUCAUGAUCAACGCCCAAGUUAGAACUUGGAAGCACAUUGAUGCCCCCAUUUAUCAUGUUUUGCACUAUGCAGUAGCUGCAUAUUAGUCCAUCGAGUGACAAAUUUUCUCUGCCAAAUAUGUUUGGGACUUUGUGUUACAUGGAGUGCCCUGAUAGCUAGCGGGUAACAAGGAUGUCAACAAAUAAUUCUGGUACUGUUCUUAGUUGAAAUUACUGUAGGUGAAUGGCCUGUGGAACCUUGUGUGUAUUUUCGUACUAUGAUUAGUCAUUUUCUUACAGUGUAGGUACUUCAUUUUCAAUGUUGAUAUUUUGCACAAUUUUUUGUUUAUUAUUUAUUAUAUUUAUUAUGUAUUAUAUUUAGUUUCUACGUUUAUUGCUUGCUCACUGCUUUGUGGUAUUAAGGAGGUGGUUUGCUGUUUCAGACAGCAUGGCACUGCUGUAGUGUUGUUGCAUGCCUAUGGUUUAGGCCUGUAAGAUUUAUUUUUGUGCAGGAACACUGUCAUCAUUGUGCUUUUUAUAUUUUCUUGAGAUCAUGUCUGAUUCUAUUUUAACACGGGGCAUCAGCGGGUCUCUAAAGAGCGAGUGAUUUCGUGCCAUGCUCCAGCCAUAGUUUCUGCGAAAUUCAGCUAUGGGAUUGUUGUGAUGCCUAGAGAGGUAAGAGGUUGGGGUUAGAUCACAGCUUUGUCAUUUUCCCCCCUUCAUAGCCUUCAACAGAUUUAAAUCCACUAUGAAUACUUGUCCAUUACCUCUAUGUCGCUCUGCUAACAGUAGGCAGCUCAUCCGAAUAUAGAAAUCUUUUAUUCACCAUUGUCUUGACUCGAACCAUCAUUCUCAAAGCCAUGAGAAGAACAUUGAUCUGAAUACACCAGCCAAGGUGAUGUCUUCUUUAUUGACCAUAAUGUGGAGUCUGGACAUAUGCAGAUUGUGUUGUAAUCCUGACAUUACGAUUUAACAUGAGUCUGAACAUAUGCAGAUUGUGUUGUAAUCCUGACAUUACGAUUUAACAUGGCACUGACAUAUCAGCAAAUGAUAGAACAUGAACAUACCAUGUCUAGUCUUAUCUGCAAUGGAAUACAAUGAUCUGAAUAUGAAGAGCUUUAGGUGCAUUUUUAAUUGACUUUGUACUUCUUAACACAAAAAUGGAUAUUAUUUUGCCACACUGUGUACCUCUCUUUCUUAAAACAUUAGCUUUUAUUGUGCAUCCUGAAGGUACCGUAUAUUAAGCAUCUUCGCAUCUUUAGACAUGACAGGUUUGGCCGAUUGAUGAUGUUAUCAGCUGCACAGAACAGAUUCUAAAAUUUUCUCCCAUCUGUACUGGCUCUCAUGGUAUGGAGUUCAUCCUACUCAAGUGACAUCACUUCCUAUUGUUUAUAAAAGGAAGACAAGAAUUUGAUGUUCACUGCUGUUGGAAGGACUUGAUGGUGUGGGUUCAUCGUUUUUUGGUUACAGCUAAAGGAUUGGAUGAUGAUAAGGCAAUUCGAGAUGACUGUUCUGGACAAUAAUUUGCAUGGAGAUGGUAUUAAGUUUCAUGAUUUUAGAGCUGUCAGCUCUCCUAUAGCGUAUGUUUUUUCUUUCACGUUUUGGCAUUUAUGAGAUACAGUCUGUUGGUAUGCAGUAUUCUGUUGCUUAUUCGCUUUCCGUUGCUGGUAUGCUGUACCUGUAUAGCAUUGGUAUGAGAUACAACAGUGUGUUGAUGCAGUCAAAGAUCCAGCUGGACGGUGUCUGAGUUCCGUUUGAUCUUGAUCCACCGGCUCCAUGCACCGUUCUUGAUUAUUCCUUCGUUAACUUUUUUUUCCUGAAGAUAUGAUACCGCAUGACACAUUAAUGUUGGUGGUCUAAUUUCGAGACUGCAAUUCAAGGUUCUAGUGCAUCAUUGAUCUUCAUUCUGCUCCUGGAUAUCAACGGAAACGGCGCACAGCGCUAGCAUAUAUGAACUGAGCUUUCCUUGUAAUUUACUAGCAUAUAUGAACUGAGUUCUACUACUUGGUCGCCGAGCUCGUGCGCAUCUU